rnacentral:rRNA from 1 species
GAAAGAUGGGGAACAUCACAGAGGGAUGGCCUUACGGCGCAUUAGCUAGUUGGAGAGGUAGAGGCUCACCAAGGCGAUGAUGCGUAGCCGGCCUGAGAGGGUGAACGGCCACAUUGGGACUGAGACACGGCCCAGACUCCUACGGGAGGCAGCAGUAGGGAAUUUUCGGCAAUGGGCGAAAGCCUGACCGAGCAAUGCCGCGUGAGUGAAGAAGGCCUUCGGGUUGUAAAGCUCUGUUGUAAAGGAAGAACGGAUGGCAUAGGGAAUGAUGCCAUUGUGACGGUACUUUACGAGGAAGUCACGGCUAACUACGUGCCAGCAGCCGCGGUAAUACGUAGGUGGCGAGCGUUAUCCGGAAUUAUUGGGCGUAAAGGGUGCGCAGGCGGCAAGAAAAGCUUAAGGUGAAAGCGUGGGGCUCAACUCCAUAAAGCCUUAGGAACUAGCUUGCUAGAGUGCAGGAGAGGGCGAUGGAAUUCCAUGUGUAGCGGUAAAAUGCGUAGAUAUAUGGAGGAACACCAGUGGCGAAGGCGGUCGCCUGGCCUGUAACUGACGCUGAGGCACGAAAGCGUGGGGAGCAAAUAGGAUUAGAUACCCUAGUAGUCCACGCUGUAAACGAUGGAUACUAAGUGUUGGGG